ensembl:lncRNA
GGUCCGCCUCAUGCUACACUUUAUCUGACAGCGGCAGGCAAAGCCAGCAUGAAUUUUCUCAAAGUGAACAGGACCAGUUCUUAAAGAUCAUGAGCCACUCUCAGCGUGGGAGGAUGGAGGAACAGCGCUGCUACCUCAGUCCCAGCCAGAUGUCCCUUCUGACUGCAAAUCUCCCCGAACCUGGGAAUAAAGCGCCCUCGUUUUCUUUACAGGACCUUCCUGCCCGUCAGGCCUGUCAUAUGCCUGCUGGUGGUGAGGUGCUUUUAGUUCACUGGGCCUCUUGCAAUGGAACAAGUUUUAGAUAUUGCUAAGCCUAACGCAUCUUAAACAGCAUCAUGGAUAAACAGGAUAAAAAAAUAGAAUGUAAAUGCAUCUAUAUUUAUACACAUUUUUCUUUGCUUGUUUGCAGAGUUUUUACAUUUGUUCUACUUUACAAAUCUACAUCAUUUUAAAGAAUUCUCCUUAUAAUAUCUUAUAAGGUGUCAUGCUGAACUGUAUAUGGCCAGAGUGGAGAAGGGACAGGGAUGUAAAGUCACACUGGUGUGUGUGUGGAAAAGACAAUCUGGAUUUGCUGACAUCAAGGGGGCCAAGAGGGUGGUGGUCUUAGUUUAGUGGGUGGGCAUCUCAGAGUAAAGGUAGAUGCUCUAAUGCUUUGAUUAAGGGAUGGUAGCAUCGUAAUGGGUAAAAAAAAAAAGUCCCGGGUUCAAACCCCACUUACUACCACUGUGUCCACGAGUGAGACAUUUAACCCUGAGUGUCUCCAGGGGGACUGUCCCUGUAACUACUGAUUGUAAGUCGUUCCGGAUAAGGUCUUCUAGUAAAGACCUUAAAUGUAAAUGCAAUGAGGUAACCUUUAGCUGAUUAUAUAAAUGCUAAUACACUAUACACAGUUAUAUAUUAUACAUAUACAAAUUAAAUCCAACUUAAAAGUCUUUGAUGUUCCUUUUUCUUGACUACGCAGAUCAAGAUCCUGAACAGUUUUUUAAAAUGGUGACCAACUCUCAGAGUCGCCGACUUGAUGACCAGCGCACAUUUCUACCAUACCUGCCAGGGAUUCAGGGAUCUUCCAGCUCUAAGAAUCAUGAUGAGAUCAAAUCAUCAACUGGAGAAGAAGUUGAGAAGUUGUGCAAAGUGGUGUCCAGGGUCCAGGGCUCCAGAAUGGAAGAGCAGCGUUGCAAUGCACCUGACAUCAUGAUGAAACUGGCCUCUCCAGGCCCACCAAGAAAAAGUCAAUCCAGACCAGCUUCUCCCUCCAGCCACUCACUGCAGGAUAUUUCAGCCUGUGAAAAGGACCAGUUCCUGACCAUUAUGAAACACUCUCAGCGAGGCCGCAUGGAGGAACAACGCUGCUCCUUGGAACCAAUCAAGAAAAGCCACACUGUGUCCUCAGAUCAAGAUGCCGAACAGUUCUUUAGACUUGAUGAUGACCAGCGAGCAACACUGCAGUUGCCAGUGUUACAGGGAUUCGAAAGUUCUAAGGCAAAACAGUCAGCUCCAAAAAUCAUUCUGACUCCAGGGACCCCGGCCUCUCCCAGGAGGUCCUGCUCCAGACCAACCUUUCCCACCCAGAUCUGUCCCGAAUCUUACGGCCAUCCUCAGCCUCCCCCGAGGUCUGCAUCCUUCAGCCCAUUGUCGGACAAGGAACGAAUGCAGACGGUAGCCAGUCCUCCACCCCCGGUGUGUAAUGUUCCAGUUCUGCACCGUUUCAUUUUUUUAUUCUGUCAAACAAGUCUUUAUGAUGAUGAAUGUUUGAGUUCUAACAGUUAUUUGCCCCCAAAAAGUUGACAUUUCAGGUGUCCAUGAGUUUUGUUCCAGUCCAGUAUCACAGAUUUGAAAACCAUGAGUAUCCCCAGCCAGAGGUCUUUCUCACGCUGGGUCCACCAGGAGAGGCCAUUAGGAUUCCACUGAGUCCAGUUCCUCACAGAUCUGUCUCCCUUACACUGUCCCCAACCAGACAGCCUGGAUCUACCAGCUCAUCCCCGAAACACAACCAGUGUCAAGCUGGUGGGUCCAGGCCUUUUGCACCAGGUCGGGGGUCUUCUAAGGGCAGCCCACUCAGUCCAGAUGAGGAUUACUUUUCCCUGAUCCAGAAAGUCCACACGGCACAACUUCAGGGUGGAAAGGGUCGGGCUGGUGGACAGGUGGAAAAGGGGAAAGGGAAAGGCCAGGGUAAAAAAGACAGAAAGGAUUGUGGCAGGAAAAAAUAAGUCUAUAAUACUAAAUACAUAAUAAGACUUAUAUAUUAUAUUAUAAUAAAUACUUUUCAUGCGCACA